ACACUGGACAACAACAGAGACUCCAAACAUGUUAAUAAAAAACUUUAUUGAUAAUAAUCAGAGUUAUUAGUGGAUUUUUCCUCAAAGCAAUGAAACAUUUUGUGUCUUUGAGACAAACUAUUUUCAUCAUCUGGACAAAAACAAGACGUGAACUUUCUGAAAGGAUUCUUUAGAUCAUUUAACAAGAUUUUUAGAGCACAGACCUCUUUCCUCCGGUCAGUCCUCCUGCAGCAGAGCGAGAGGCCGGCCGUUACCGCAACACGUGGAUUAAAUAUAACUGUGAAGAACAAUUCAUAAUUAAAGUUCAGAAAAAUGGAUUUCAAAUUUAUUUCAGUAAGUGACCAUGGGAGAAGUGGGAAAAUGCACUUCCAGAUGGGGCGGCUGUGGUACAGUGGUGGGGCGGUCGACUCCAGAUCGUUGCAGGUUCGAUUCCCGCCUUACUCGCCUCUGUGUCGGUGUCCUUGGGCAAGACACUGAACCCCGAAUCGCUUCUGGUGGAAGGCUGGCAUCAGUGCUCGGCAGUGGAGCCACCAUGGGUGGCCACCAUCAGUGGCCUCGGGGUAGAGUGUCCGGCCUGAGACUGGAAGGUCCCGAGUUCAAAUCCCAGUCGAGACAGACCAAAGACUCUAAAAAUGGAACCCAGGUCCUCCCUGCCUGAUGCUCAGCAUUCAAGGAUUGGGGGGGUUAAACCACCAAAUGGUUCCAGGGCGCAGCUGUGUCUGCAGAUCACCACUCCACCCAGGGGAGGGGUCAAAUGCGGAGAACACAUUUCACAGAACUUGUCAUGUGACAAAUACUAGGACUUUAACUUGACUUUAUAAUCAGAAACGUGCGGAGGACGCCGAGGUGACCCGUCUGAUGGGGGUCUGGUCUAAAUUAGAUGGACCUCAGUUUUUGAGUUUCAGUGACCAAAAAACAGAAGUGAUGAUGUUCGGUCCCAGCGGCUCCUGUGACCCGUCUGAGAUGGAUCUGGGUCGUUCCAGUCUGUUUUCUUUUCGUCAUGUUUUUACCUUUUUAUGCUUUAAUUCACCUAUUUAUUAUAUUUAUUUUAUUAUGUUUUAGUUUUUAAUAUACAGCGCUUCGUUCAGUUUUAAAUUGUGUUGAAGUGUUUUAGAAAUAAAGUUGAUAUUUGGAAGAAUUUGGGAUUUCUUCAACCGUUUGGUCACAUGGGAUGAUUCAUUUUAAAGAUAAAUAAUAAUAAUAAAAAAACAAUCAGAAGUCUUCAGCAUAUAAACUUUAACUCGUUAUGAACUUUCUGUGUUUGUAAAAACUGAGUCGUGCUUCUAAAGUAAUGACUUUAUUACAGACUGAAGGUCCAUUUGCCACAAAGUCCCAAAAUACUUAAAAUAAAUAAAUAAAUAUAUUUAAAAAAAUGUAAAAAUAAAAUAAAUAAAAAGAAACCUUCAUGAUAAUGCAAGUAUAAGAGCCAAUAAAAACAAUGACAUAAAAUUACCAAGUGUUGAAAGGGACACAGUGCCGAUAAAACACAAUAAAAACAGAUUAGAAUUAAAUGAGUGACAUUUCAGACGGACGAGUUUGAAUCAUUUUUUCAGUUCAGGUGGAAGAAGUUCCAGAGUUUGAGCCUGUAUCUGUAUCUGAAAUGUGGGUUUGGGUUCGUGAUGAUCAGAUGAAGACUUUGCAUCAGUAAUGAAUGAAGCUGACAGUAGAGAGCAGAUGAACUGGAGCUGUUGUACCUCUUGACGUUAAUUACAGGAAGUAGAAGGUCAUUGGUGAAGAGGCUCUUCGGACAGACGAAGGUCUCCACACAGGUUUCACCCUCUCCUGCUGGUGUUCUCUGUCUAAUGAGAAAUUCAAACUCCUUCAGCAGCUUCAGUGAGAGGCUGACCGCUACACCCCCCACCCCCUUUGAGACCCUUUGGCCUUCUGUGCAUUAUUGUGUUGUGGCUGCUCCUCUUCUACUUCAUCACUUUAACAACCUCAUUUCAUAACAGCUGCAGACUGAUUCAACGUCCUCGUCUGCAGCUGAUCCGCUCUUUAACCACCGAUGGGUCACAGGGAGGAGUUUCUGCUGUUGGAGUUUACAAAUGUAGAGUUGGAGUUUGUCCUGAGAGCUGCAGACUGUUUGCUUUUAUGGAGAGAAACGCAGACAAAACACGACCCUGUGGCUCUGUUUGGGUCGGCUCUCUGAGGGUUCAGGUUCCUGCGGCGUGGCGGUAAAAGCUCGGAGUGAAAAGAUGAUCCGAGGUUUAGUCUUUACUGUCUUCUUUGUGGUUGCUGUCACAGCUGGUCUUCAUCACAGCAGCUGAUUGUGAUCAGACUGAUUGAUCCUUCAGUGAAUACGAGGAUUCAACACAGAGGAACGAAUACCCAACCCAAAGUACUGAAGGAACAAAGAGGACAACUCAAUACACAUCACUGUGAACAUCAGAGCUCCUGAUCCGUCAUCAGAACCCUCCGGACCUCCCGGCGCCGCUCACCUCCAGCCUCACCUGCGGUAAACGGAGCAGCUUCACCUUCAGGAGGACGCAGGUGGGAGGAGUGUGACUGACUUUGUUGUGUGGAGGAGCGCUCCCACGUCCCACGGCAGAUCGGGAUCAUUUUUAGCCCAGGACCGGUUCUUCAGGCGGGCCCGGCUCUCGGCCCACAGCCUGGGCUGAGUGGGAGUGGACUGUGUCAGGGAUUACUCACACCACUCGUAGUGGAUCCACAGAUCGGACUUGUUUGGUUUCCCACUGAUGACGAAACCAAACUGUGUUUACGGAGGGAAAACAAGUUAAUGAUGUAAAGAGAAGUAAACAAAUGAAAAUCAGGAUCAGUGGGUCGCAGGAGAUUAAGAAAAAAAA